CAAAAGUCUCUAGCCAGUGCAUUCCUAGCUUCCCCUGCACUAGGGUUGGCUGAGCCGGGGGGAAGACAUGUUAGACUAGUGCUCUUCUCCUGCUUAAGAGGGCUCUGCCAUUGCAUUCAGGUGCAGAUUCUUACUUUACCUGUAUGGGCUCUGCAAAUGUAGGAAAAUCCCAGGAUGUAUCUACAGAUCUAGGCCCUAGAAGCCUAUCUUAGGCUCAAGAGGUAAGUUUUCCCAGAGGACUGUGUGCUGAGUGAUGUCACCGUGUAGCUCAGGAAGGCUAGCGUAGAGGAGAACUCUUCAUGUGAGAGGCGACUUGGCAAGGAGUAUCCCUGUCAGCACUGAUAAAGACCUCAGGUCCAGCCAAAGCCAAAGUCGAGGUGAUGCAGAAGCUAAGGCUGUUCUUAAUGGGGUAGCGAGCUAAGGCUAUAGCGCUUGGUGAUGGGACUUAGAUGGUUGCUUGCUGGAGUGGGAGCGCCGUGUCUCGGGCGACCCAUCGGAGGAUCGCGAAGCGGAGUCUGGGGGGUAGCCGGCGGAAAAAAGGCUGCUGGAAGAGGGGCUCCUUCGGAUGGGCGGACGCGGUACCUCUUUCCUGCCAAUCAAUCUAUCACAAGAUGGGAGUCCAGUCGGGCAAUGAACGCAAGCAUCGCGUUAAAGGAUGUGCGGGGAACCCUCUACAGCUCAAAACUUUGGUGCCUGUGUUCGUUUUCCUGAACGGCAGAGAUAGGACGCCAAAUAUAGCGACGAUUUUCAUCAAGGAUCAGGAUAAAACUGAGAAGACCAGAGUGCAGGAACGUGGAAAGUAUAUUGCGGCAGCACACAUUGGAAGGGUGGUGACAUUUUAAGACUAAUGUGAGCAGCAACAGGUGGUACCGGGAGUGCCACGUGCAGCUGAGAUGGCGUGUAUCCUGACAGUGCAGGCGUGUGACAGAGCUGUGUGGGUACAGCACCAGCAGAUGUCAUGGUAGCAUGCAAAGAGGCAAACUCCCAGACCGGCUGCUCCUCUUCUUACACCUGGACUGGGGUGCUGCCCACCGGGGACUCCCAUGAUGCACUGGUGGGCCCCAACCAGGGCCAGAAGUCGGAUGCCGCCAGGCUUCGCCACCUGACGGAAACCCGUCGUUUGUGCUCCACUCUGCCGGAAAUGAGAGCAUUGCCCUUAGGAGCAGCCUGUGCGUGGCGAUCGCUGCAUGGUAUGUGCUGUUUCCUCCAUGCCCUUUUUUUUUUUGUUGACGGAGGAUGCCUACAGCCCACAUUGUACACGCCAUUUAUUUCCCAUAAUCCUUUUGUUUUGUUCUGCAGUCUGAACGUAUGCAUAUGCUUCUGGGAGUUGGACAUUAUGCAGCCGCCAACUGCUGCCCCUCAAUGUUAGCAAUUUCUUUCCUAACCUGGGCUGACACAGUGCUCUAGACAGGGUUGUUUUUCUUGCUAGCAAUUUCUGUGAGUAUCAUCACCAGGGUGCCCCGCUAAACAGGACACAACUGGAGGACCUGCACAUUUCUCAUGCUGGGAUGAUGGUUACACGUUUGGCCCCUGAAUCCCGCCCCUUCAUUCUCCCCACCACCAAUAUCACUGACAGUCACAGACCAAGGGGUCAUUCAGAGUGGGCCAGGACAGCUCAUUUGAAUUGAUGAGUGAUUCCCAGGCAUGCACAACUCAUGCAAAUCUAUACUGUCGAGGUUAGCAGAGCAGUAUGCAGGUUUUGAAUAUUAUUCCCAUUCAAAGACUUGAAUUGUUGAGUACUUAAAAAGCUGUUCAGCGCAUUGUCUCAGGUGGGCUUUAUUUAAAUAAUUGCUGUUGUCAAUGUAAAAUAUGAUUUUCAUUGUAUUCUCUUGUUGCAGAGAAGCACGAGCCUCCACACCUAUUGGCCAAGUUCUAAGACCUUUCAUGCUGACUAAGCAUCUUUGCACGUGAAUUUGAAUAAUUUGUAUGACCAGGCAAGAGGUCCACUUUUAAAAGUUAAUAUUUAUAAUAAACAAUCACAAAGAA